AUGCAAAUUCCUCCGCUGACUGACAGCUACGGGAGCCCUGGCUGGGCUCACACACUCCACUUGAGCCACCAAACUGCAGGAAAACCAGGCUGGGGAGGGAAGAGCAGCACAAACAAGCGAGGGAUGUUUGUCGCGGCAGACACAACCACCUGCAAAGAAAGGUGGAUAAAGAGUCGGGGUUUGGGCUGCAAAUGCGGAGGGGAUGGGAUAAUCCGGGCUGCUCCCAUGAAGCCGGCAGACGGUUGUUUCCAGCGUCCUUAGGGGUAUCACAAAGCUAUCAGCUUAAUUUGGGGGAAUGACAUCAAGGAAAAAAAAAUAUAUAGCCCAGAUUUUCACCUGCAUAAUAAAUAUAUACAUAUAUCUAAUGUCCUUUCA
rnacentral:lncRNA from 1 species